rnacentral:tRNA from 1 species
GGGUCGAUAGCUCAGUCGGUCAGAGCUGCGGACUUUUAAUCCGUAGGUCCUGGGUUCGAGUCCCAGUCGACCCA